GGCCAAAAUGAUGAAAUUGCUAAAGACACAGCUUCAGUCAGCGACAGUGUUCCAGUGAGGCCAGAAACAUCAGCUCAGAGUGCAGUAGAACCAGCAGUGAUUGCGAAUGAGGAGUUGGAUCACGAGGAAACAUACAGGGAAUGGAAGCUUAUUAAAGAACCCACUCAAGCUGCCAAAGUUUUCAAAGAGACUCUGUUGUGGGAGCAUGCAUCUGGGAAACCCGCUGAAGAGGACAGGGAACGGGAACUCCUCUCGUUCUAUAAACAGCAGCAAGAAUGGGCAUGUCCACUUCAUUGUACUCUUGCUGGUGAUGUUGCUGUCGGAGAGGGAGUGAAGCGGUACUUUCUGACGACAAUAAUUUCCAACCUCCAAUUUGGAUUCAGACUAGAUCUUGGAGGAAUGGGCCGAACUGCUAUUUGAGGGUGAACCUGACCAUCUUGUUCCAG